rnacentral:rRNA from 1 species
ACUCCAGCUCCAGAAGCGUAUAUUAAAUUGUUGCAGUUAAAAGCUCGUAGUUGGAUCUGGGUAGCAUGGCUACGCGCUGUAGCUAGUUUCUUCACCAGUUUUCGGUGUUGAAAUUGCUCGGUGUAGUGGUCGUGUGACCUUUCUGCCGUGUCUGUGUACACAGGUGCCAACCGUUAGGUCGGCAUGCUCUCGGGUGCCUUUAAUCGGGUGUCCGGAGCAGACGGCACGUUUACUUUGAACAAAUUUGAGUGCUCAAAGCAGGCCGUAGAGCCUGAAAAGUCUUGCAUGGAAUAAUGGAAUAGGACUUCGGUUCUAUUUUGUUGGUUUUCGGAUCCGAAGUAAUGGUUAAGAGGGACAAACGGGGGCAUUUGUAUGGCGGCGUUAGAGGUGAAAUUCUUGGAUCGUCGCCAGACAAUCUACAGCGAAAGCAUUUGCCAAGGAUGUUUUCAUUGAUCUGGAGCGAAAGUCAGAGGUUCGAAGACGAUCAGAUACCGUCCUAGUUCUGACCAUAAACGAUGCCAACUGACGAUCCGCGGCGCGCUAUUUUCGGCCCCGCGGGCAGUCCCCGGGAAACCCUUAAGUCUUUGGGCUCCGGGGGAAGUAUGGUUGCAAAGCUGAAACUUAAAGGAAUUGACGGAAGGGCACCACCAGGAGUGGAGCCUGCGGCUUAAUUCGACUCAACACGGGAAAACUCACCCGGCCCGGACACCGUGAGGAUUGACAGAUUGAGAGCUCUUUCUUGAUUCGGUGGUUGGUGGUGCAUGGCCGUUCUUAGUUGGUGGAGCGAUUUGUCUGGUUAAUUCCGAUAACGAACGAGACUUUUGCCUGCUAAAUAGUGUGCCCGUCUUCUGUAUUUGUCCAGGGACCGGAAUGCUACGAUCCCUCGAAGGGUUGUGGCGUCUGUUUCUUUGGCUUGUGCGGCGCGGGUAAUCACUUCUUAGAGGGACAGCGGCAAUGAAUCCGCGCGAA